AUGUGACAAAAAGCCUCCAGUUACACUCUUGAACCAUGCUGCUGUGAACCUUCUGUCAGACUUCCCUGGUUCUUCUAAAGCAAUAUUGGGUGAGCUGGUGUAAAGAGACCACUUUUAUUUCAGUCCUCAAUCCUACUUAUUAAAUAGAGCAGGUGUUGCAGAACCUGAUUUCAAAGUACUGCGCUGAUGUAAGCAAAUACUAUGUUCUCUCCAGCAUACCACUGCAGUGGGGUCCAAGUGAACAGCUGUGUGGUGCUUAGCUGCCUGCCAGGUCAAACUGUGAGACUGACUUAAAAGAAAAUCUGAAGAUCCAUCAUGGUGAAGGGGAGAACUGUAAAUCUUUUAGGAGUGAACUGCAUCAACGUAAGGAAGGCUAACCCUAACCCUGACCCUAAUCCUAAACCAACCAUUCCAUGGCCAUCAAAUUCAUCUGAAAAGGAAUGAUUCUUCCUCUCCCUGUCUGGUAGCUACUCAUUGUAUCCAUACAGGGUUAAUACUCCAGGCAUACCCAUGUCCAUCACAUUGCUGCUAAUCAGGAGCAAUGUGGUUAGUGAGACCCAUAGGAUAGAUAUAAGGAAAAGCUCAACCUUUUCCUGAAAUCUAUGGAAAUGCCCCACUGGCUUAAGAUCAAGACCUCGGAGUUGGUGACAUCCACAUUUUAAGAGUUUUUUCUCUCUUAAUGAAUUUUGGUACCAUAGAGGAAACAGUCAGCACUUCAGAGCACAGUGGACUGGUGAAAUUGUGCUUCUCAAGGCACUUGUGGAUAAUACAUUCACUGCAGGGCCCUGCUGCUUCCAUCUGAGGGUGUAGGACCCCACACACACACUUCUGUACCUGCAGUCAGCACUCAGAAUCCCAUCAGAC